AAUCUCCCAAACACAGACUAUAAGGGACUACAGGGCACCUGAUCUCCAGGCAGCCCAGCCUUUGCCCUUGGCGUCUGGUGUAAGGCCUGCUUUAUUUGAGUCACCACUAUUAAGAGGGCAAAAAGCCCAAGUUCCUAACCCCAUGGGGUUCCCUGGAACAUGGCCUCUUUCUGGUGCACCUCCACCCAUGGUACCCCCAGACGUCAUACAGCCUGCCUCUACCUCCCUGGCUGAGACUACUCGACUGUUCCCUUCGCUUCCUGUGAGACUACCAGGUGUCAGCCCUACAAGCCUUCAGUCCCUAGCCCCUCCUGUCAAUUUCUCUGUGACACACCCUCCAGGAGGGCCAGGUGCCGCAUGCUCUAGUGCCUUCCCGACUACUGGCCUCUUGACUGCUCACCCAGGUCAGUCUUCUUUCCAUGGCUUCCGUCUUCUGGGUCAUUGCCUCCUUCUCUUCCCCCCUCCACGACCACCUUAGGAAUCUUUCCUCAUGCCAGUGAAUUGGGGCCAUUGGGUUGGAGAAUGGCAACUAAGAGUAUGGCUGGUCUGCAAAGGGAGGUGUGAUCGACGCCAACUAAAAUAAUUUUACUGGCCUUCAAACUGAAAAUUUCCAGUGCUCCUGACUGUGCCCCUAAAUACCUCUAUCUUUGUGCUAUGCAGGACCUCAAGAUUCCUUGAAAAACGCCCUAGUGCUCAGGGCAAACCUCCAGAGGAAAAAGUUACCAGAGAUAUUUAUGCCCCUAGCACCGAUUACUGCUCCAGUUGUGAGCCUCACCCCUGAGCCACGAGGGGUCCUUUCCUCACAGCCUUCUGUCCUUGGUGUGGGCCAUGCUCCCCCAGGAGCUCCAGGAGAAUUCAGCCUGCAGGUGAGAGGAACAGUGUGUUCCCCUCCUCUUGGAAACUUUCCAACUCUCCUUGGGUAUAGAAAAGCAGGGAGCAUGGUAGAUGGGCCUCAUUCCUCAAGGGGGAGGCCGAUACUGCACUGGGGAACUGGUGUAGACAGGUAGCAAAUGUUCUUACUACAGAGAAGAGGGGGUGCCCCUUUCCCCAACUCUGCUCUAGUGGGAGCAGUGUGACACUGAAUCACUGAGGACUAGUCCAUAGGGAAUCUAUGAGAAGGACAGCUUG